AGAGUUUGAUCCUGGCUCAGAACGAACGCUGGCGGCAUGCCUAACACAUGCAAGUCGAACGAUGCUUUCGGGCAUAGUGGCGCACGGGUGCGUAACGCGUGGGAAUCUGCCCUUGGGUACGGAAUAACAGUGAGAAAUUACUGCUAAUACCGUAUGAUGACGUAAGUCCAAAGAUUUAUCGCCCAAGGAUGAGCCCGCGUAGGAUUAGCUAGUUGGUGGGGUAAAGGCCUACCAAGGCGACGAUCCUUAGCUGGUCUGAGAGGAUGAUCAGCCACACUGGGACUGAGACACGGCCCAGACUCCUACGGGAGGCAGCAGUGGGGAAUAUUGGACAAUGGGCGAAAGCCUGAUCCAGCAAUGCCGCGUGAGUGAUGGAGGCCUUAGGGUUGUAAAGCUCUUUUACCCGGGAAGAUAAUGACUGUACCGGGAGAAUAAGCCCCGGCUAACUCCGUG
rnacentral:rRNA from 1 species